rnacentral:rRNA from 1 species
AAAUUGAAGAGUUUGAUCAUGGCUCAGAUUGAACGCUGGCGGCAGGCCUAACACAUGCAAGUCGAACGGUAACAGGAAGCAGCUUGCUGCUUCGCUGACGAGUGGCGGACGGGUGAGUAAUGUCUGGGAAACUGCCUGAUGGAGGGGGAUAACUACUGGAAACGGUGGCUAAUACCGCAUAACGUCGCAAGACCAAAGAGGGGGACCUUCGGGCCUCUUGCCAUCAGAUGUGCCCAGAUGGGAUUAGCUAGUUGGUGAGGUAACGGCUCACCAAGGCGACGAUCCCUAGCUGGUCUGAGAGGAUGACCAGCCACACUGGAACUGAGACACGGUCCAGACUCCUACGGGAGGCAGCAGUGGGGAAUAUUGCACAAUGGGCGCAAGCCUGAUGCAGCCAUGCCGCGUGUAUGAAGAAGGCCUUCGGGUUGUAAAGUACUUUCAGCGGGGAGGAAGGUGUUGCGGUUAAUAACCGCAGCAAUUGACGUUACCCGCAGAAGAAGCACCGGCUAACUCCGUGCCAGCAGCCGCGGUAAUACGGAGGGUGCAAGCGUUAAUCGGAAUUACUGGGCGUAAAGCGCACGCAGGCGGUCUGUCAAGUCGGAUGUGAAAUCCCCGGGCUCAACCUGGGAACUGCAUUCGAAACUGGCAGGCUUGAGUCUUGUAGAGGGGGGUAGAAUUCCAGGUGUAGCGGUGAAAUGCGUAGAGAUCUGGAGGAAUACCGGUGGCGAAGGCGGCCCCCUGGACAAAGACUGACGCUCAGGUGCGAAAGCGUGGGGAGCAAACAGGAUUAGAUACCCUGGUAGUCCACGCCGUAAACGAUGUCUACUUGGAGGUUGUGCCCUUGAGGCGUGGCUUCCGGAGCUAACGCGUUAAGUAGACCGCCUGGGGAGUACGGCCGCAAGGUUAAAACUCAAAUGAAUUGACGGGGGCCCGCACAAGCGGUGGAGCAUGUGGUUUAAUUCGAUGCAACGCGAAGAACCUUACCUGGUCUUGACAUCCACAGAACUUUCCAGAGAUGGAUUGGUGCCUUCGGGAACUGUGAGACAGGUGCUGCAUGGCUGUCGUCAGCUCGUGUUGUGAAAUGUUGGGUUAAGUCCCGCAACGAGCGCAACCC